AUUGAACGCUGGCGGCAGGCCUAACACAUGCAAGUCGAACGGUAACAGGAAACAGCUUGCUGUUUCGCUGACGAGUGGCGGACGGGUGAGUAAUGUCUGGGAAACUGCCUGAUGGAGGGGGAUAACUACUGGAAACGGUAGCUAAUACCGCAUAACGUCGCAAGACCAAAGAGGGGGGACCCUCGGGGCCUCUUGCCAUCGGAUGUGCCCAGAUGGGAUUAGCUUGUGGUGGGGUAACGGCUCACCAAGGCGACGAUCCCUAGCUGGUCUGAGAGGAUGACCAGCCACACUGGAACUGAGACACGGUCCAGACUCCUACGGGAGGCAGCAGUGGGGAAUAUUGCACAAUGGGCGCAAGCCUGAUGCAGCCAUGCCGCGUGU
rnacentral:rRNA from 1 species